GGAGCAGGGCUGAAAGGAGACAUUAAUACCCAAGGAGACUGAAAGAGAGCAGGAAACAGGGAAGGAGAUGAGACGGACAACAUGAAAGGGGAAGAAACUUAGAGAGAGAGUGAAACUGAUGAGAUGCAGGAUAAAAGACGAGAUGAGUUGAAGACACACCUGUGCAGAUAGAAGCCAGUGAUGGGUUUCAAAACAGCUACCAAAGGACUGCAGUU